GAUGAACGCUGGCGGCGUGCCUAACACAUGCAAGUCGAACGAAGCUUGACGGAUGAUUUCUUCGGAAUGAAACCAGAUAUGACUUAGUGGCGGACGGGUGAGUAACACGUGAGCAACCUGCCUUUCAGAGGGGGAUAACGGCUGGAAACGGUCGCUAAUACCGCAUGAUGUGUUCGGAUGGCAUCAUCUGAACAUCAAAGAUUUAUCGCUGAAAGAUGGGCUCGCGUCUGAUUAGAUAGUUGGUGGGGUAACGGCCUACCAAGUCUACGAUCAGUAGCCGGACUGAGAGGUUGAACGGCCACAUUGGGACUGAGAUACGGCCCAGUCUCCUACGGGAGGCAGCAGUGGGGAAUAUUGCACAAUGGGGGAAACCCUGAUGCAGCAACGCCGCGUGAAGGAUGACGGUUUUCGGAUUGUAAACUUCUUUUCUUAGUGCCGAAGACAGUGACGGUAGCUAAGGAAUAAGCAUCGGCUAACUACGUG
rnacentral:rRNA from 1 species